GCCCCCAUCGUCUAGCGGCCCAGGACAUCUCUCUUUCAAGGAGGUGACGGGGAUUCGAAUUCCCCUGGGGGUA
rnacentral:tRNA from 1 species